AAACAUUCAGGCUGCUGAGAACAUUGAAAAGUCCUGCAGUGAGAAAGGUGCUAUAAAAAAAGGCCUUGAAGGAGUGCGGCAGGGCAAGGAGAAAAAUACUUAACCACUUCUCAGAUUGGACUGGAUUGAAAUGACCAUGAACAACUCGGGAUUGGGAAAUGACACACCCAUUCUUGAGAACUGGACAAAGUGGAAAAGCACUACACGGCAGGAAGGCCUUAUGUUUGGCCUGGGAGGAGGAUUUUGCAACACUGCUCCAAGGAGUACAGCGAUGCAGAGAGAACAGGUGACAUCCUGGUGUAUUCACGCACCACAUUCUCCAAAAGUCUAGGGCUUACUGAUAAAUACCACAGACUCUGGAAAAUACCUUGUUUUUUCUGGCCUCAUGUAACGGA